UACAGAGGUCCCAAGCGUUGUUCGGAUUCACUGGGCGUAAAGGGUGCGUAGGUGGGCAGGUAAGUCAGUGGUGAAAUCUCCGGGCUUAACUCGGAAACUGCCGUUGAUACUAUCUGUCUUGAAUAUCGUGGAGGUUAGCGGAAUAUGUCAUGUAGCGGUGAAAUGCUUAGAUAUGACAUAGAACACCCAUUGCGAAGGCAGCUAACUACACGAUCAUUGACACUGAGGCACGAAAGCGUGGGGAGCAAACAGG
rnacentral:rRNA from 1 species